GGGCAAGUCUUGUACGUCCAGCUCCUGCUGAAUCCCUCAGGGCCGGAAGGCAGCAAGGGUAGGCGGUCGUAGCGGAGCGAUAUGAGGAGCUUGCCCCAC
rnacentral:SRP_RNA from 1 species